UUGGCACGCCUCAUGGCCGGCCAGUGGAGGAUGAAUAUGCUCUGAUAUGGCUAGGAAUCCAGACAAGCACCCGUACACGUAUGUCUAAUACGUCAAACAAGCUUACGCCAAUAAGUCGUCAUCGUUGGGAACGCCUUUUGCCAACUUGCCGAAAUCUUAUUGCCUGCCUGCUGUGCAACCAAACCAGACAGAAUACAGACAGGUCGAAAAGGAGGGUAAGGAGAUAGUAGGCACUGUAAAAAAAUGGGUCUUCAAAAUUCAGUGAGAUUUGAAUUUCUUAAAAAGUAGUUCAUCAGGAGCUAUAAACGUAUCGUACAGUGCACUCGAUUGCAGCUCUCGGCAAUGCUGAUACGUCGGAUUGGACCAGCACUUUUCGAUAACUUCUUUAUGCAACUUUUUAUCUAUUUGCAACUAUAGAGAGCUUUGGACUUUCAGACUUUCCACGACCUGCAGUUUUUUUCGCCGAGGAAUCAAACGCAUUACGUACAAAGCACCGGCAAGCUGGAUUUCAAUGAUUUUAUUUUUGCGCAUUUUCCAGUUUCUUUUUUUUUAUAUUUUUUUGGGGUAAUGAAGGAUAUUGAAAGAGCUCUCACCAGGAUUGGCCAAAGGGGUCGAGAUGUGGAUUUGCGAUAGAGUAGAGCGCCGAGAAAGAACUUUGCACAUUUUAGUUUGUUUGGUUGGUUCUGAACAGGCUGAGGCCGGUGGUGGUGGGGAUAAAAGUUCUUGAUGCUGAUGGAUUCAACAAUUAUGUUUCAUCUACUCUUCAGUAUUGACAUGUCUCGAGGAAAUUCGAUUUCUCUUUGCUCUUUCCAAAAUCCAUUUUCGACAGGACCUGUGCAUUUUGCCAUCAACAUCUUGGCCCGGCACUUGUCAAGUGCAAUAGAAAACGCCUACAAUGGAUCUACAUGCCACAGGAAUAUUCACAUUUGCAACAGCUCAAAUUUCCGGCACAGCAGGCCCGCCCACCACAGUGCACUUCUUGUACGAGUUUGCCAUUUUAACAUAUUUUGCCCAGGCACAUGGAGACCUGGGCACCUGCUUUAAUAAAGCCUUCACCAGCAGCAGUCGACCAGGACAACUAGGACCCCGGAGCAGGAAAAGGAACAAGGGUCCUGUACAGGCUGGAAAUGCAGUACAGCUGAUGUUGUAACAACUUCACACUACUUGUAUAGUGAUUACAACAAUAACUACCAGCCUUUGCAUACAGUAACUUUAAUAAGUAUGCAGCACACAGACUCGUUAUUUUUUGGCAAUUCCACAAAAAAUUUUCUUAUUGAUGACGUAUAGCGUUUUUGUAUUUCAAGUAUAUUAAUAGAAAAAUAAAUGUAUUAUAUAGUCAGUAAUUAAAUACCCAA